UUUUUUUAAUUUAUUUUUCUAAAAUGUAGGUUUCAAUAAAAUCACUUUUAAAACCAGCUAAUGAGGCCUAAAUCAAUUGUUUUUUAGUCUCACAUCAUAGAUUUUUAGAAUGAGUGGUUUAUAUUGAAGAAUAAAAUUUCAGGAAAUAAAAUAAAUUACAGAUCGGUCUAAAUUAGAAAUUUCCUGCUUGUCUCCUCGGUUGCUUUCAUUUGAAGACAUGAAUACUCUAAUUUUUCAGGAUUACUUCUCAAUAUCUUACUUACCUUACAUGCCUACCCAAUAUGUCCUUCAGCAAUUUAAUUUUUCUUCUAGCAAAAGGAUACUUCAUUUCUAACGAAGAUGCUGACUGGCUGGGUGGAUUCCUCUGCCUCCAGCCCUCCACCUUUAAUUGAUCUAUCUCUCGAUAGGUGGCACGCGUUUCUCCACAAGGUGAAAUGAAUUUUUUUGUAACAUAAAAUAGUGAUGUUUAAGCAAUGUCAAUAUAUUUUUUUUUUUUUUAAAAAAA
rnacentral:lncRNA from 1 species